rnacentral:rRNA from 1 species
GACGAACGCUGGCGGCGUGCUUAACACAUGCAAGUCGAACGGAAAGGCCUGCUUUUGUGGGGUGCUCGAGUGGCGAACGGGGGAGUAACACGUGAGUAACCUGCCCUUGACUUUGGGAUAACUUCAGGAAACUGGGGCUAAUACCGGCUAGGAGCUCCUGCUGCCUGGUGGGGGUUGGAAAGUUUCGGCGGUUGGGGAUGGACUCGCGGCUUAUCAGCUUGUUGGUGGGGUAGUGGCUUACCAAGGCUUUGACGGGUAGCCGGCCUGAGAGGGUGACCGGCCACAUUGGGACUGAGAUACGGCCCAGACUCCUACGGGAGGCAGCAGUGGGGAAUAUUGCACAAUGGGCGGGAGCCUGAUGCAGCAACGCCGCGUGCGGGAUGACGGCCUUCGGGUUGUAAACCGCUUUCGCCUGUGACGAAGCGUGAGUGACGGUAAUGGGUAAAGAAGCACCGGCUAACUACGUG